CUUCCGACUUGCUCGCACUUUCUGCGCGUGCUCGACUCAGCACCAUAACACGCAUCAGUUACAUGUCUACCGCAGAAAGAUCUUGGCAACUCGUUCAACUUGAUGAUAGUGUAUAACAUUCCCAAUAAAGGAAUAAUUUCGAGGUAUUAAGUCAUAACUUUGACGAGAUCUUUUGGACAGACAACGCCGAGAUCGGCCAGGUGCUAUAUUGCUUUUCAUACAUCUCUUUAAUCAUAGAGCUAUUAACAGAUGAAUCAGAGUGCAUCGUGUGGAUUAUUUUGAUAUUGUUCGAACUGGAAUCAACAAAUUUUGCAAAUGUGUUAUACAACUAUUAUUGGAUCAAAUCAAUGUAUCAACACAUAAUGUAUAUACGGCUUGAAUGAUAUUCCAUCGACUGUUCUCCUUUUCUCCUUAUCAUUUUCCAUUGCAGUACAUCAAGACUUGGAUUAAACGAGUGAUGUGACUUAUAGGUUAUACUGUCAAUUUAAAUGCUAGAUCGCUAAUACCUGGCAUAUUUCACCAGGUCUACGCUGCUAUGAUAAGAAUUAUUGUAAUUUCUUCGAUAAAUCAAGCUUACACAAACCACGUCAUGAAAAAUACCAUAACUUUUAACUCGUAGUUCGGUUUCGGAAAGUGCAAUAACCGAGAUUACUUGGCACGAUCAUCCAAUCGCAUCUUGGUAACAUAUGUAAGUGAUGUCUCAGCUCAUGUGAUACCUGGUUGGUAUGUUUAUAGUUCACCGACCCUAUAUCUUAGGGUUAAGCAUCUUUGAAGAGGGGGGUUAAACGGAACUCAACAGGUACUCGGGUAACAUCGUUGGUGGCUCCUGCUCCGGAUCCUCUUUGCUAAUAUCAGCCCCGCCUACCUGUUCCCUAUACCUGUUUCCCCAAGCGGUGUGUACAAAGUUUUUUUUCGAAUUUGUUAAGGUUCGGAUCGAUUUUUACUGUUUGGACGAGUUUCAACGUGGUAAUUCGUCUUGUUAAUUCGGUUUUAGAGCUCCGACGCCUUUAGUUGUAACUGUGGCUACAUUGGUCAUAUGUUGUGUAUCGAUAAAAAUUUGUAUCAAGGCUUCAUUAUGGACAUGAAUGGUAAAUAACAUAUUUUGUUGAUCCGAGGGUUUGAGCUUUACAUCGUUUCCAGGAUUCUGUGUUCAUUUGCUCUUCAUAUAGUUGUGGAAUUGAUUUAUCGUUUUGGAUAUAAGUGCCCACGCUUAAAAGGAAGAGCUGACCUGGAUUUUAGGAUUAUAAUCAACACCAUCAUCAUGUCACUGGAAAGCUAACCAUCCUCGUCGAAGUUAAAUCAUCCCGUUACCAUGGCAACCAGUCCUAAGUCUUCUCUCGUGUUCUCCAUCAUUCUCCUCCUGUGUUUAUGCUACGGAUUAUCAGCCUCUGCUUCGAGGACAAAGGAGAUAUUAGAGGUUUUGAAUAAUGCUACGAAGGAAUCAACAUCAACAGAAAUAGAAGAAAUCG